rnacentral:lncRNA from 1 species
UGCCAGCAGAUGGCAAAGAGGUUGGCAAAUCCUAUGACCGUCAAGCGUGUAACGGCGUACCAGCCCCACCUCUUCGCCAUCUUCCAGCAGACGGCAAAGAUUCUUUGCCAUCUGCUGGCAGAUGGCAAAGAGAUGAGGUUAUUUUUUUCCAGGUAAAAAAAACUGUGGGGUUAUCCCCUCCCUCUCUCCCCUCCUCUCCCUCCCUCCCACGCAUCUCACCCGCCACCGCCCAAGCACCCCGCCGCCCCGCCGACGCCGACGCCGGUCCCCGCCGACUGCUUCCACCCGACUUUGAUUCGGUACUGCCUUCUCCUCCUCCUCAUAUCCCCUCCGCUCUCGGUGUUGCGCCUACCACUUUUAGCCCGGCUCUGUUGGCCUCAUGUUUCUCUCUUCUCUAGCGAUUGGAUUGCCAAGGCCGCUCGCUGCCGCCGGAGGAGGUUGGGGAAAGGCUGCCACCAGCUAGCCGUCCACGCCAGGCGCGACGGGGUUCCCGCUCCGCUGCUUGGACCCGGAAGAGCACGUACGUACAAGAUCGACCGGCUCACAGAGCGCGGCCAGAGCAGCUUCUGUUCCCGCCAACACCGUACCCCGCGGCAGAAUAGCACGCGACGCCUUCGCCCUGUGCUCGUGGCGACGCCGGGCGAGCAGCCGAGCGCGCGCCCCUGGCCCGGCCCCGCGGCAAGGCAACACCACAGUUGGUUUAUUUCUCGUGGUCUCUCGCCCUAAUGCUCCCUCCGCCUAGUCCACGUCCAUUGGUUGCUGCUCAUCAUCCUGGUGCAUGACAGGUAUGAUCUCAGAACGUCAGAUCCGGUGUCUGGUGGUCUGCUGUUAUACUAGUACUAGUACCUUCCAAUACUAACCUGGUCCCGAGCUCCGAGGGGAUGGAACGAUGCCAACAACAAAUAACGAACGUGUGCCUAGCAGUUUACCAAGUACCACUAGCAUGUAUGGUGCUCGCAGGCAUGACAACAAUGGGGGUUAUCUAUACUUUUUUCAUAAUAAUUCAUCUUGCUGUAUUAAUUUCCUACUGUAUAGUUUAUUGAAGCGAUUUUUGUGUUUCUGGCCAGUUUAGUUGAUCCGAGUAUACCCCCCUUGGACCCAAACGCAACUGAUUAGCAACGCUUAAAGCCUCUUUUUUAUUACUUGGAAUCAAUAGGCCAUUGACACGACACCUUGAGAGCUCACGGCUUCCUUCUUUAUCCGUCGGAUGGACUUGGAAAGCAGCGUGUAGCAGUUGCAUUAUUCCACUUGAUUACUAGCCACCCUUUCCGUGUUAUUUUCACUGUAGCCUUUCAUGCUAGCUAAUUCCAAAUCACAUGCUCCCAACCUAUCAGUUUACUUUUGGGAUUUUCCCCGUAUGUAUAUUCCAAUUCCACAUGGAGUCUGCAUCUUCCAACACAUGGCCCGGCACUGAUUAGGAGAAGCUCCCUGUUGUAUUCUAUAUUGGGAGUCAUUAAUGUGUCAUGUAAUUUUCUAGUACUUAGUUGCUACCUUGGCAUCCCUCUGAAAAUAAAUAGAUGGUAUAGAUGACACUUAUUUUACUUAGAAGCACUCUCUACAGAUAGUAUUUCGUGUAGAAAGAACUCACAGACAUGAUCUAUAUUGACAACUUUAGUUUGGACAGAGAUGAAGUAAUCAAUUUUGGACAUGUGGAUGGCAUUCAAAUAUGUCAGUUGCCAAACUGAAUCAAGAAGGCCACAACACAUAAAAAUUGUAAACUAUGGCAAGCAGGUUGUAAUAUCUGCUUAUUUGGAUGAACAAACCGGUGUGUUCACAAUGCAAAAUAAUAUCCCUGCAAGUCAUCACAAACAAAUAUGAUGUAAGUAAAACAAGUCUGCGUUGUAAUGCUAUGAAUCCUGGAAACAUCAGAAGGACACUCUUAGAUUUCGUAAAAGGGACUUUUGAAAAACAAUGAAAGAAAAUUAGCAAGUUCUCUUAUCUGCAAGUAUAAACAUGACAGAGGCAUACACUAAUUAGAGAACGUAAUUGAUUCAAUCUUUCAACUAUAUUUUUCACCGAGGGUUCAAGGGUCGAGGGGUUGAGUGGUCGAGGGAUAAGAUUUUCUCUUCAGAUAAGAAAUACUGUACUGGAGUUCAGAAAUCAUAUCUCUUCAGAUAAGAUUUUCAACGGACUCUUGAAUAGAUGCGAUCUUUGCUUGAUCAGCCAUUAAUUAUACUACUAGAUCUUGCUUGCCGUUCCGCUGCCACAGUAUCUGUACAAGGAUUACUUAAAAUGUCUGUAAACAAAGAUAUCUUGUAUUUAUGCUGCUAUAACUGAUGGUCACCAGUUUGCUCUGGUGGAUUCUUCUAUGCUUGCACUGUUAACUAUCUUUAGAAAAAUAUCAUGUAUAUGUAGAUUGUCAUGGUACAUAAUUUCUGAUUAUAGUUGUGCCUGUCAAUUUGUAUUCACACUAAAUGUAUCCUCUUGCCUCUGUUGAUACUGUUUCGUUUGCAUGCAACUAGCUACUGUCGGGCACAACACUAACAACGCCGAGUAUUUAGACCCUAAUUUGUAUCUUUCUUUUACUAUUUACAUAGCAUUCUGAAGUUGUCAUUACUGAUGGAAAAUGAAACUAUAUGCAGGUGAUGCUCCUGGGUGACUCCAGUCUAAGAAAGAGGGAAAUGCAGGUCACGCUAGCUUGCAACCAUUUUUGGGAUGGAUUCAUCGAUAGAAUGCCGAGGUAAAUGCGGUAACUAAACUGCUACUAAAAAAGAAACACAAGAUGCUGGAGUUUUACCCAAUUUACAAUAUUGCAUGUUUGUCUAUGUCCAACAUUUCAAUGUAUGUAGCACUGAAUGUAGGGCCUGUUUGGGUACAAUGGCUAUGCAAGCAGUGAUAGUGGAUUGGGUUGUUAAUUCUUCGGGUUUAGG